ensembl:lncRNA
CCCGCCCCCUCCCCACCAAGCCUUCCUUCCAAAUUGUCGCAGUGUCUGGUGGUCCCAGCCCCUCCCCUACUCACAUCCACCCUAUCAAUUUCACAGAGCCUCCAAGUCCCGCCCUUUAUCCUAACACGCCCCCCUCCAAACGGCAAAACCCAAAUUGGUUUGGCUCCUUCCCUGUAACACCCCCUCCUCAACUCAGGACUGAACUAGUGAUUCCAUCUUGGGCCCAGCCAAACGGGGUCCAGUCCCCUCCCUUCCUAGCUGGAUGGAUUCGGAAAGUGCACCCAGGAGGAAGGAAUGCAUCAAACUGGAAGAUACUGAACCCAGAAAUGAGCCCCAGAGUCAUGGAAGAUCUCAUUUUUAGGAUACAGAAGCUCUGCCCUGGAUAAAGACAGAGAAGACUACAGUUACACUUAAGGACAGCAUCGCAGGUUCGUGUGCUGAAAGCUUGAGACUUGGUGGAAUGAUUUGAAUUAGUGGAAUCUUUCAGAAAUGCAGCCUACUGAAAAGAGACGAGGUCACUGGGCUAAUCACUGUUGGGAGAGGUUGAUGUCAUUCUCUUGGGACUCAGGUAUUAGAUGCUGUUCUGGGAGCUGAAGACAUAACUGUGGAGAAGACAGAAAGCAAUGCCUGAUUCCCAUGGAGUUGAUUCUAGUAAGGGGAAGAGAGGAAACAAUUGGAUAAAGAAGUAAGAUCUGUAACAACUUAAAUAAAGUGCUAUGGAGAA